rnacentral:rRNA from 1 species
GUCCACGCCGUAAACGAUGAUGACUAGCUGUCGGGGCGCUUGGCGUUUCGGUGGCGCAGCUAACGCGUUAAGUCAUCCGCCUGGGGAGUACGGCCGCAAGGUUAAAACUCAAAGAAAUUGACGGGGGCCUGCACAAGCGGUGGAGCAUGUGGUUUAAUUCGAAGCAACGCGCAGAACCUUACCAGCGUUUGACAUGGUAGGACGGUUUCCAGAGAUGGAUUCUUUCCCUUACGGGACCUACACACAGGUGCUGCAUGGCUGUCGU